rnacentral:rRNA from 1 species
UACGUAGGGGGCAAGCGUUGUCCGGAUUUAUUGGGCGUAAAGCGCGUGUAGGCGGCCAGAUAGGUCUGCUGUGAAAACUCGAGGCUCAACCUCGAGAGGUCGGUGGAAACCGUGUGGCUAGAGUCCGGAAGAGGAGAGUGGAAUUCCCGGUGUAGCGGUGAAAUGCGCAGAUAUCGGGAAGAACACCCGUGGCGAAGGCGGCUCUCUGGGACGGUACUGACGCUGAGACGCGAAAGCGUGGGGAGCGAACAGG